rnacentral:lncRNA from 1 species
CAAAAGCAGGGUAGGGCUCCAGCUAAGCCACGUAGGCACUACGAUGGGCAACAGAAAGGUUGGUUUCUGGGCAAUUCAGAGAAACCAAGGACAGCUACCCCCAGAACUCAGAGUAGCCAACUGGGCUGCUCACAGGAGAUGCCUUAACUGAAAGGUGAUCAGACUCCACAGGAGACCCAGAGAAGAUGUGGAGGGAGCUCAGAGGCUGUCCUGGAGGAGACGUGGAGACAGCUCAGAGGCUGUCCCAGAGAAGACGUGGAAAGAGCUCAGAGGCUGUCCCAGAGAAGACGUGGAGAGCUCAGAGGAUGUCCCAGAGAAGACGUGGAGAGAGUUCAGAGGCUGUCCCGGAGAAGACGUGGAAAGAGCUCAGAAACUCAGAGACUGUCCCGGAGAAGACAUGGAAACAGCUCAGAGGCUGUCUGCAAGAAGACGUGCAGAGAGUUCAGAGGCUGUCCCGGAGAAGACAUGGAGAGAGCUCAAAGGCUGUCCACAAGAAGAUGUGGAGAGAGUUCAGAGGCUGUCGUUACUGCUGCACUUGGCUGUUUUUCUUUGGAUAAUUAUUGCAAUCAAUUUUAGUAAUUCAGGUGUUAAAUCACAGUCAAGCACCUAUUUACCUAGUGAAUCUAGAUUGUAUUUGUCUUUGGAAACAGUCACAGCCACUUCCAGAGGUCAUUUCCCAUAGACCCCAAACUUCUCUUCUCCCAGCCUUGGAGGUGCUGGGUUCUAGAAGGAGGAGGCAGUGAGUCCAGAAGCCCAGCCAUAUCAGGAUGACAUCUACCAUUCAUCUGUCCUCGUGUGUCUUCAGCGCCUCUUUCACAUGUCUGUGUCCUUAGAGCUUGCUGGAACCAUCUUUGCUUGUCUCUGUGUAUUCUGAGUCUGUGACUAUUUGGCUCUAGGAGUCUUCUCAACAAAGUACAAUUUCUGUUGUCUUUUUCCAAAAAACUUUAUGAAUAAAAUGAAAAUAUGAG